CACCUAUCUAAGGAAUAACAUUUCUCAGGCUGGCAAACCUGGAAGCUGAAUGCUACAAAACGCUACAGUAAAGAAUAGCACAGUGCAAUGAUUUUUUUUAAAAAUGACCUGAGAUUGCAAAGAUGCUGCCAAUACCAGAAGACACCAACACCUUCCUGCCAAUGCACUGUAUGCAGUAUGGAGACCUAUCACUUACAAUGAUUUGUCCACCUCAUUGGGUCAAGUGCUUUCAUAACUUCCAAAUGUCCAGGUUGUUAAAUAAUACUUGACAACUCCAGCUGUAAUCCACAAGAUCUACAUCUACAUCUAUGCACCAUAAAAAAGCCUGAAGUGGUGUGCAACUCUUUAUUGUGUGCAACUAGUUUCA